GACGGGGGGGGUAAGCGUUGUUCGGAAUUACUGGGCGUAAAGGGCUCGUAGGCGGCCAACUAAGUCAGACGUGAAAUCCCUCAGCUUAACUGGGGAACUGCGUCUGAUACUGGAUGGCUUGGAUUUGGGAGAGGGAUGCGGAAUUCCAGGUGUAGCGGUGAAAUGCGUAGAUAUCUGGAGGAACACCGGUGGCGAAGGCGGCAUCCUGGACCAAUAUUGACGCUGAGGAGCGAAAGCCAGGGGAGCAAACGGG
rnacentral:rRNA from 1 species